UGCCCUUUCGGCUCGCGCCCCGCGGCGAGGGAGGGAGGAAGGCAGCCCGACCCCACGCCCCCCUAGCCCUUGAACUCGGUCAUCAGACUGGGACUCUGCAAGCCUACCGACUCCACAUCGCCUCUUGCCCCGGGAAGCCGGGUGGGGUCCCUGCCAAGGCUCAGGGGUCGUGGGCUGCCCCUUUCAGAGUCUGAGCACGGACCCCUUGGGGUCUGGGGGAAGUUUUCUCCAGCGGGGGCGCUUUGGGGGUUACCGGAGCCUGGCUGGGUUCCUGUUCCCCAUCACUCUUGCUGGGGACCCCAGGUGACUUGCUCCGUGCGUGUAGGUCUUGGUGACUCGCUCCCUGCCUGAGUGAGUGGAUCUCCCCGGAUCCUCAGCCGCUGUUCCUGGGCGGUUGUCGCAGCAGCAUCUCUCUGGUUUUUGCCGAGCUGGGUGCAGACAGUUGAGCCCUCUGUUCGUCCUGGCCUGCGAUGAGGGCUGAGCUGGGCGUCCCAAGUCCCCGACCAUGCCCCUGAAUCAAUACUCAGUCCGGGGUGUCUGGUCUUACUUUGGGUCUUCUGUUUCUCUUCUCUGGAUGUUUGAGCCUUCCGUCUUCACCUUCUCUGUCUCUAACCUUGCCGUCUCCCAUGCCCUCUGUGACUUUAUCUCCUCCCCAUCUCCAGUUUCAGGGCAUGGCUCCUUCUCCUAGCUGGUUGUCUCUGUCUUUCUGUCUUGUUGCGGCCGGUUCAGGUCACCAGCUGUGUGUCCGACCACACCGUCAGGGCUUCCACUCCUAUGGGAUUACUUUGCCCUUCGUGGGUGUGAACAGUCAGGGCUCUGAAACUGUUUUUUCCGCAGAUCUGGGGCCAUCUGGGUGGCUGGGUGGGGAACUGACUUGUCUUCCUACCCUGUCCCUAACUUCUCCAGGGAUACCUUUCCCACCUUCUCUGGGCUGCCUUGCCCAGCCUACUGAGCUAGGAGCAGGAGCACAUGGGGCAGGAGGCCGGAGUCCCCAUUUCAGAGCCAAGGUCUCAGUUCUCCAGGGGCGUGAGUUCUGCCUUAGGGCAUAGCCAAUGUGUUGUGUGUCUGUCUGUUUCUUCAUCACACUACUUGUCUGCAAGGAUUUGCCUAGCCGUUAAAGGAUAUUAGACACCAGGGGGAUGGUUUCAGGAUCCUGAAGACUGAAUGCAUAUUUCUAUCAUUUGUCACUUUGGAAGUCCUCACUGAAGACUGCCUUAGUACACAGCGUGAUGCUUUCUGAGCUGCUAAACUUCUUCGGAGUCUGUGCGACCCUUUCUGCCGGAGUGCAGCUCUUCAUGCCUGAGAACUGAGCCAGUCCCAAGACGUGAUGUGAUGGCAUUUCACGUUGCUGUGUGGGUAGCAGGGAGAAGUCUUUCCCUCAUUUGCGGGGAGAAUAGUGGCGUGAGCUGCCUGACGGAGAACCAGAACAUUCCUAGUGUCCUGCGAUCUCUUCUUUACAGAGAGGGGUACUCUGAAACGCUGCCUUUGAACUCUUGGAGUUGAUAGUGAUGGGUUCCCGCAGAAAUGCAAUUAGAAGUUCUUUGUGCAUCCAGAGCCCAGGAGGUGGGGUGGGAGGGUUGUGGGUCGUGUCCUGCUGGUCCAGUGUAAGAACGUGUAGGGGAGACAUGGUGGGGGAAGCCUGGGGCUUACUGUAUCAUUUGCAUCUGGGGGUCAGAGUGGGUUCAGGAGGUACCUUUAGGAUGCAUGUAGCACCUGUUGAAACAAAUGAAGAGAAGGAAGGAGGCAGGGCUAGCUGAUUUCUUCAUAGGUCCCCGGCAUUGUGAGCAUCCACCCCCAGCCCCUCUCUGUGUGCUCGGCUCAGUGUUUUACUCUCUCACACCCAGCUCAGCCUCUGAGAGAUCUGCGGUUGGGGAGGUAGGUGGGAACACACUAUUUUCCUUUUUACUUCCUUUUGGAAUUGCAGUUCCAGCAGCGGAGGUGCUUUGCUUUUCUGAAACUCUGCUUCCAACUGCAAGUUCAGUUACUCUCCCCAAAUCUGCAUGUCCUAAUGUCUCAAUUUCUUUACCUUCCAAGAUGGACAUUUAUGUAUUUUUUUUUUCUUUUGGUUCUCUUCUCUUCUUGGUGGCUGUCUACCAUGCUGUUGACUGUUGUCUCUUGGGGCUUUGUAUUUUAUUUCAUUUGCUUGUCUCCUUUCUUUCCUCUCCCCCCACACCUACUCCAUGACCUGCUAAAUCCUGAAAUCACAGUACAGACAGGCUGGCUGGAGCCCGGGGUCUGUCCUACUCUGACUGUGCCCACCCAGUUCCUGCCCUUCCAUGGAGCUCCAGGAGACCAGAAGGGGGCAGGCUGUUCCCAAAGUCUGGUAUAGCUGGAGCUUGGGUUGCAGGCAAGGAGAGGACCAGACCUUUUCGCAAGCAAUAGAGGCCGUUGAAAUGUGCAGUUUGUUUCCAGACCCUGCGGAGGCUGCCAGGAUGAUGCUUUGGAGGGAGAUUCAGGAGUGGGACAUUUAAAGAAACAAAUCCCCGUGAUUUUCCAGAUGGCUCUUGUAGAGAGGUGGUUAGACACAUGCUUAGAAGAAGAUGCUUUAGCUCAGUGCUCUGUUGCAGGUGGGGAUGGGGUGGGUGGACAGCCUUGGCUCUUGCAUGUAGAGGGAACCUGUGUCCUGGGUUGCUGGUGGGUGUGUUGCAGAGAGUGUCAGGCAGGCAUUGUGUAUAGGGCAUUUCCUAAGCCAGAUCUUCCUCCUUCCUGAUGCCCACAGCCUCAGAGCAUUUGUCCUUUUUAUGUUUGGGGAGCUGCGCUUCGGUGGAAGGCCCUGAUUGUAUUUUUGGUGCACUUAAGAAGCCAAGAGGAAACACCCCGUUUCUCAAGUAGACAGAGUCAGAGGGCAUGUCCAUAAAAGAUUUGCAAGCUCUCCUUUUCCUCUCAGCCUCUUUUAAAGCUCUUAAAUAUUAGAAUUAUUGGGUGGAUUGCAGCUGUUUUGUGGCUGACACUGAUUCCUUCACUGGGUCUCCAGUAAGCUGUGGAUUUUACUGUCAUCUCAGAAUUUAAGAAACAGAUGGACUCCCUUAUAAAGGGAGGAAAAAUAUUGGGAGAACUGUCACAAGGAUCAGCCUACAGGUUCUGAAUAGAUUUUGGAGAAAAUGAAAGAGAGCUGCGUGUGUUAAUGUAAUGAAUGUUUAUUUUCUUUCCCUUAGUGACUCUUCUUGAAGUCCCCACAUUUAUUGCUCGUGUUCUUAGAUAAACUGUUACUCAAAAUUCCUCAUGCUUCACAUUACUCAGAUAACUCAGGACUCUUUUAGACAUCAGCAGUGACUUUGAAAGAUCGGUUCACUGGCUUUAGAUCACCUCUGCUUCUAACAGCCUUGGAGGUAUAGCUUUUCUUCCUAUCCAGAUGUUCUGAGACCACAGAAAACAGGGUAUGUUAUUGAUGGUUCGUUUUUUUUUUCACACUUUCAAUGGAGUUUUGUUUUGUUUGAGCGACGCAUUACACUUUGUAUACAGAAAUAUGCAUCAUUGAAUAAUAUUUAUCUUACUGCAAAUGUUGCCAUCUGUUUAUCAUGGAAAGUGUUAAAAUAGAUAAAUAAAAGUAGAAAUAAUAUACGUAGGUAUAGAUAUGUUUGUAAUAUGAAUUCUAAUAUAUCUAUGUAUUCACUUUCCUUCCGGUCUUUUCAUACUUUAGACGUUCUCUUCAGUUUAUCAAUUCAUUUUUUAAAAAUCUUCCAGAAGGGUGGGUGGUCAAAGGCUUGCUAUUUUUCACCUAGGAAGCCAGCCAUGGCGUAAGUUCUUAUUUACUGGUGACUGUUCAAGUUUGAUUCAUGGUUUUAAUAGAAGAGGAAAUUUGGUGGCUUGAGUUAAAGCAGAGAUUUGACAUCAUCGCGUCAUUGUGUAUGUGUGUGUGUAUCCUCAGAAAGCAAAGAUAUCCUUAGGCAUAUCUCUGACAUAAGAGUCUGCCCCCCACACCCCGCUCCAGAGCUGUUUAUGAUCCAUAAGGUCAUAAAUCCAUCUAUAUGAGUGUUUCAGUGCAGAAGAACUUAACACACACACCUGUUGGACUGCACAGGUGAGGUUGAGAGUCUCUAUCUUUUGACCAGUGCUACCUUAAGAGCUGCCACUUAUGAUCUCUCUCUUUCCUUUUCCUUUGCAUUUCCCCAUUUCUGCGGACCCAGAUCCCCAUCUACCAGAAACAAAGAGAAAAUGCCUUGGGGAAAAUAAAAAAUAACUAAAAAACAAACUCGAUCUUAACAAAACCUGCAUUCUAAGGAAGGGGUGUGGGAACAGGAGAAAACGUCCCAACAAGUAUGUGCGAGGCCCCGGCACCAAUGAAAGAGGCCUCUGUUGAGUACCCUCAGGCCUGACAUACCUGGGUUCACCUCCUGGCUCGGCCCUUUCUCAUGCCCCUAAUCUUGGGCAAGUCACUGUAAUUUCGGUCCUCUGUGAAUCUGAGCUACCUCAUAGGGCUGUAUGAGGAUGAAAUGUAGCAAUAUAUGUGAACUCAUGUGGGCCUGUUCCUUAAUCAGUGUUCAAAAAUGAGCUGUUCUUAAAAGGAAAUUCUUGGUAUGUUUGAAAAUAAGGAAUUUCUUGCAGUUAUUCAUUUUCCCGUACAGUGUAGGGUGCGAGUAAAUCCAAGGCAGUAGAAUGAAUAUAGCUGUUUCUGUGUGAGCAGGACGGAAUGUGGUAGAGGAAGGAGUACUGACAUUUAUUGAGUGCCUGCUGUAUGUCAGGUGUCAUUUAGGUAUUUUGCAUACGUUAGGUUAUUAAAUGCUCACCCCCCCCCCCCCCAAAAAAAAACACAAAAAAUUUCCAGGAAGGAAGACGGUAUUACACAACUGAUAAAAAGUUAAAACUAAGGACACCCAACUAGAAAUCGCUGGUCUUAUGAUGGCUUGUUAUGUGGCAGGAAUAAUGGAGGGAUUUGUAAAUGUUACCUUACUGUCUUACUGAUUUCUCCCAACUUUGUGGGAUAAGACUUUUGCUGUCCCCAGGAGGAAACUGAAGCUCAAAGAAGUGAAGCUGCUUGCUCAUGAAGUUCACAGAGCUGGGGAGUAGCAGAACUGAGAUCCAAACCCAGGCCUGCCCCUUUCCAAAGAUGCCACCUUUCCGAGUUGCGUUCCUUUUGCAUGGUUUGUUGAAAAACCCUAAAUGCAACCAUGCAUUCCCAAAAAUCUUUUUUUUUUUUUUUUUUUUUUUUUUUUGAGACAGCAUCUUGCUCUGUCACCCAGGCUGGAGGGCAGUGGCGUGAUCUCGGCUCACUGCAACCUCCGCCUCCUAGGUUCAAGCAAUUCUUGUGCCUCAGCCUCCUGAGUAGCUGGGAUUACAGGCGUGCACCACCACGCCUGGCUAAUUUUUGUAUUUUAGUAGAGACAGGGUUUCACCAUGUUGGCCAGGCUGCUCUCGAACUCCUGGCCUCGUGAUCCGCCCGCCUCGGCCUCCCAAAAUGCUGGGACUACAGGCCUGAGCCACUUUGCCCAGCCCCAAAAAUCUUUAUUCUACUUUUCUCACUUCUUGUUGCAGAUUCCUAAAAAGUUACCAACCCUAGAAAAGAAGCAGACAUGCAAUUUAUAUUGAAUCAGACCCCUAACUCAUGAUGCAAAUACAAGGGUAGUAAUAAUGAUAAUAAUAAUAAUAAUGACUGCAUGGCAGUUAUGAUGUGUUAGGUGGUUUUAAAAAUGGAUAUAUAAUAGUUUGACAUAUUUUGGGGUACAUGUGAUAUUUUGAUAGGUUCAUAUAAUGUGUAAUGAUUAACUUAAAGUAAUUGGGAUAUUCAUUACCGCCAACAUUUAUCUUUACUUUUUUGUCAGAGACACUGAAAUUCUUCUCUUCUAGCUCCUUUUUUUUUUUUUUUUUUUGAGACAGUUUUGCUCUGUUGCCCGGCCUGGAGUGCAGUGGCACAAUCUUGACUCACUGCUACCUCCGCCUCUCAGGUUCAAGCAAUUCUCCUGCCUCAGCCUCCUGAUUAGCUGGGAUUACAGGCACCCGCCACCACACCUGGCUAAUUCUGUUUGUAUUUUUAGUAGAGAUGAGGUUUUGCCGUGUUGGCCAGGCUGGUCUUAAACUCCUGGCCUCAGGUGAUCUGCCUGCCUUGGCCUCCCAAAGUGCUGGGAUUAUAGAUGUGAGCCACUGUGCCCGGGUCUUCUAGCUAUUUUGAAAUAUACAAUAGAUUAUUGUUAAUGAUAAUCACCCUACUGGACUACCAAACACUAGAGCUUAUUCCUUCUAUCUAACUGGAUUUUUAUCCUUCCAAUCAACAUCUUCCUCCCUACUCCCCUAAUCACCUAUCUACUCUCUAUCUUCUUGUCAUCUACUUUUUUUAGCUCCUACAUAGGAGUGAGAACAUGUGAUAUUUGUCUCUAAGUGCCUGGCUUAUUUCAGUUAGUAUGAUGGCCUCCGGUUUAUUCAUGUUGCUGCAAAUGACAGGAUUUCACUUUUUAACAGCUGGCUAAUAUUCCACUGUGUGUGUUUACCACAUUUUCUUUAUCCAUUCAUCCACCGAUGGGCACUUAACUUGAUUUCAUAUCUUGGCUAUUGUGAAGAAUGUUGCAGUAAGCAUGGGAGUGCAGAUAGCUCUUGGAUUUAUUGAUUUCCUUUCCUUUGGAUAAUUAAUCCUUUCCUGUGUAGACACAGUAGUGGGAUUGCCAGAUCAUAUGGUAGUUCUGUUUUUAGCUUGUGAAGAACCUUCAUACUCUUCUCCAUAGUGGCUGUACUAAUUUACAUUCCCACCAACAGUGUAUGAGUGUUCCAUUUUCUCACAUCCUCACCAGCGUCUGUUAUUUUUUGUCUUCUUGAUAAAAGCCCUUUCAGGUGGGGUGAGAUGAUAUCUCACUGUGCUUUUGACUCACAGUUCCCUGGUGAUUAGUGAUGCUGUGCAUUUUUUUAUAUAUCCAUUGGCCAUUCGUAUGUCUUCUUUUGAGAAAUAUCUGUUCAGCUCUUUUGCCUGUUUAAAAAAUUGGACUACUUGUUUUUUUGCUGUUGAGUUGUUUGAGUUCUUUAUAUAUUUUGGUUAUUAAUCCCUUGUCAGAUGGGUAGUUUGCAAAUAUUUUCUUCCAUUUUGUAGAUUAUUUAAUUUGUUGAUUGUUUGCCGUGCAGAAGCUUUGUAGCUUGAUGUGAUCCCGUUUGUCUAUUUUUGCUUUUGUUGCCUGUGCUUUUGUGGUCUUACCCAAAAAAAAUUCUUGCUCAGCGUCCUGAAGUGUCUCCCCAAUGUUUUUUUCUCUAGUCGUCUCAUAGUCUCGGGUCUUAGAUUUAAGUCUUUAAUCUAUUUUGAUUUGGUUUUUGUGUAUGGUGAGUGAUGGGGCCUAGUUUCAUUCUUAAGUUUAUCCAUAGGUAAUGGCUAUCCCGUUUUUCCAGCACUACUUAUCGAAGACUUUCCUUUCCCCAGCCUUUGUCAAAAAUGAGUUGAUAUUAAAGUGUGGGUUUAUUUCUGCGUUCUCUAUUCUGUUUGCCAGGCACUGUUCUAAACCCUCUUUGUGCAUGAACUCAUUUAAUCCUUCAAGCUGUGUACUAUUAUAUUUUCAACAGUCAAGAAUGGAAGUUGAAAUUGGCUAGAGAGAGGAGUCUUGAAUUCAGCUCUCUCUAACCAAGGGAGAAGCGGAGGAGGGGGCAAGAGGAUAUUGUUCAGGGUUCUUUGGCCGGGGACAAUGGCCUUUCUUUCAACCACAACAGACUUCCUGCUGCUCCAUUCCUUCAGACCGCUCUGUGGUUGGCCCACUGAGGAGCCCGCCACUUGUACCUGAGAGCCUGGGUCUGCAGCACACUGGAGAGUUACCUCAAUAAACAUGCAGUGCGGAUCAUCUUGCGGACACUUCCUUCCGCCUGCAACAGAAACUACCCGUUUGCCCGCAGAUGCUCAUCAGAUGGUGCCCAUGUGCUCUCUGGGUUCGGUUGCCCCCUUCCCGAUUGGAAGCCAGAGGCAUCACAAAGAAGAUGGGUGUGGGGUGGGGUGUCACCUUAGCCCUGAACCUGGACACUGGCAUUAUUAGUGUCAGGAACUGCAAACCCAGACACCCUGCCAGAUGAGGAAGGGGUGGGACCCAUUCUCAAGCUUUGUGUGUGUGGACGAGGGUGUCUCAUCUUUCAGGGCCACCUAGGGGCAAUGAAUGGAUUUGUCCUGUCCCAGGCCUAGUUUGUCCCAGCCAGGUGACUACUGCUUAUCUGGACAUCUAAUCCAGGCUAAUGUGUCAGUGGAUGCUAAUGAGGUAAUGUGGUAAGAGGCAUUUGUUUCUCCUCCCAGGGCACGCUUUGCCAUAAUUUUUGGCCACAAGAUGUGUGGUUUCAGUUUAAGAUGAGUUUGUGGGGCAGAGAGGUUGAUGCAAAUGUUCCCUACCCAGGAGGCACAAACAUUGCAACUAUGGUGAUGAUGAGGUGCAUUUAUCGAAUGCACCAAACACUGUGGAAGGACUAAAAAGACAUGCUUUUAUUGAAUUCUUAUAACAUCUGGCAAGUUAAGAGCUAUUAUUUUCAUUUCUGUUUUACUGAUUGAAAUAAUGAAAACUAAGGCAAUAAGUUGGAUGAAAAUUAAGCAGAUGUGAAGUGUCCAAACUAGAAAUUGAAGUUGGGUGGUGUCUCCAAAGGCUGUGUUCUCAGUCUACCCAGUUCAGAGUCAGUAAGUCCGUUGACUCUAGCCCCUCAUUCUCCCCCUGCCUCCAUCUAUUUAUGCAUGCAUUUGUCCACCCAUCCAUCCAUCCAUCCAUCCAUCAGUCCAUUCAUCUAUUUGUCUAAGCAUCCAUCCAUCCAUCUAUCCGUCCAUUCAUCCAUCCUCUGUCCAUUCAUCCAUCCAUCUGUCCAUCCAUUUACCCAUCGAUCCAUUCAUCCACCUAUCUACCCAUCCUCCACUCCUGCAGUUAGAAGGUACCAGUCCCUGUGUCCAGCACUGGAACCACCUUGGUGAACAGGACCAAUGUGCCUCCUGCCCUCCAGGAGGACCAGUCUAGCAGGCAAGAGUUAGAGCCCGUGCUGAUAAGUGGCCGAUCUCUAGGGAGAUCACUCUCACAUCCUAGCCUGGUUCAUUGCCUAUACCCUUUCCCAUGGUGACCUCUUGAACACACAAGGGAGGUGUCCUCUGGGAAGGUCAGGGCAAGGAGUAAGUAGUAUGAUUCAGAGCCCUGGGAGCCCUGAGGUCUCUGCCAUCCCAGAACUGUCCAUGAGGCCUGGGCUGCUCUGCUCAUGGGGCCCAAGCUCUUCUUCUUGUAGCUCAUGAAACAACCCUGGAAAUGAUCCAGGGGAGCAGAUGGGCAGAUGCUGUGGGGCCUGGGAGGCAGGUCGUGUGAUGUUGAGGAAGAAGACAGUGGUCUGACAUCAUCGGUGGUAUGGCACUUUGCCUCUCUGGAGCUCAGUCUCCUUGUCUGAAGCACAGGGGCCAUGAUGGCACCUACCUGGCAGGGCUUGAUGGUGAGGCACAGCUCUGGGUCAUGGUCAGUGCUCUGCUCUGCCACCUGAUGCAGCCACAUCGUAGGAGAUGUUUGCUAGAGCCAGGAGGACUUUCAAAUCCAUGGCCCGUGGGUGGGUUUGAUUUUGUCCACACGGUGUGUUAGAAUAAAUAGGCCCUGGAAUUUAAAGAUUAGGAUAUGCCGUGAGACAGCGUAGAUUUUUGGAAUUCUUUUAAAAGUCAUAAGAUCCGGCAAUACAGGGUCCACGGUGCUUGCUUGGUGUUAAACAGCCAAGCUGAGGAAUGGUGAUACUGCAGACCCACUGGGUCCCUAAGAGUCCCCCUAAGAUCUCUCCUGUCACCUGUGGCACCUGGCUGGCCCCUCUUGGCUGUUGAGUUUGCAGCCCAUUUGGAAGACCUCCGUGUUCACUAUGAAGACAUAAAAAUGAGCAUCUGUGGUUACCCUAUUCCCAUGUGGCUUAUUCACUGCACUUAUUUGCCUCUCACUGCCUGUGCCUUGCCCUGGCAUGAUGGAGUCUCCCUCCCCGCCUAGCUGGUGGUGGAGACCCAGAAUAUGCAAAUUCUUAUAAGCAUGAGGCCAUCCUGAAGGCAAAUGUCCCCGACAGAAAUAGAAUCAUGCAUUCCGCAAUUUGAUAAACCUGUUUCCCCUCUGCAGGGAGUGUGAGUGACAGCCUCCUUUGAGUCAUCUGCCCCUCACUCUGUGUUUCCCGUGACCUUGUCCCCCAAUAACACGCAUUGGGAAGUUGGGAGUCUUUAGAGACAAGGGGGAGGUGGAAAAGUAGAACAUUCCUGAGCACCUUGGCUUGGUCCCAGCGCUGUCAGGGACGGACCGUGACUUUCAUCUCUGUGUCUUUUUGGCACUUCAUCAGAUGAUGCUAAUAAGCCUGCCUCCCUCCCUGGGUUGUGAGGAUUAAAUUUGAUAAACAGAUGAGAAAGUGCUUUGAAGCUCAGAAAGCCCCAUGUGAAUGGAAGACGGGGCUCAUGUCUUCAAGCAGCACAAUGUGGGAGUGUUCAGACGGGGUUGUCUGCGUUCCUUCCUCACAGCGUCUUGUAACCCGUGGGGGACAGGGAGAGAAUGAAUGAGUGAAAUCCACUGGAAAUUUCCCACCUACUCAUCCAUUCAUUCAUCAGAUACUGGUUGGGGUCUGCUGUGUGCCAGGCCUUAUGCACAGCAGGGGGAAAGACAGAUGUGACCCUGCCCUCAUGCUCUUUAUGGUUUGGGGGCAGGAUGACCUCCCAAUAAAAACAAACAAGAACAUUGCAAAAAAUCAGAUUGUUACAAAUGCAGCGAAGGAAACCAUUAGGGAGCUGAACGAAAAGAAAGAGCUGUGGAUAAGCAUUUGUUUUGGAUGGGUGGAUUUAUUUUACUUAUUCAGGGGUAAGGAUUUAUUUUGGAUCAUGCCUUUUGCCAUAGUAGUCCUAAACGAGCCCCAGGAAUCCAAAAUAUGGUAUAGACACCAAUCGUGAUGCACCAGUGGUUGGAGGUGCUACAAGGGCAGAUAUUCUGUAAAAACUCUUUAUAAAAAGUUACUAUUCGUAUCUGUACAACAUUUAUUCACUUCUUAAAUUUAUUUGUUAAUUUAUUGAGACAGGGACUCCUUACGUCACCCCGGCUAGAAUGCAGUGGUUUGAUCUCAGCUCACUGCAACCUUGACCUCGCAGGCUCAAGCAGUCCUCCCACCUCAGCCCCCUGAGUAGGUGGGACUACAGGUGCGUGCCACCAUGCCCGGCUAAUUUUUGUAUUUUUUGAAGAGGUGGGGUUUUGCUAUGUUGCCCAGGCUGGUCUGGAACUCCUGGGAUCAAGUGAUCCUCCCACCUCAGCCUCCCAAACUGCUGGGAUUACAGGCGUGAGCCACCACGUCUGGCUCACUUCUUAAAUAUUGCCUGCGUUCUUUUAGUUGCUUUUUUCCCAACAAAACCAUAUGAUACAAACAUUACUCUAAAUAUACAACUUGAUGAAUUCUCACAAACUGAACACAUCCGAGUAUCCUAGACCAGGAAUCAUAGCACUGACAACAUCCCAGAUGCACUCUCUUCUUCUUGGGUGAAUAUUUAAAGAAAUUAUUAAUCGCUGUAUAUUUCUUUAAAUGUAUAUUAUGGAAAAUACAGAAAUAUAACCAGCCAAUCAAAACGGCAGCUUCAACACUCUUCUCGUUUAACAUGCAGGUAAAGUGGCAUUUAAGUAAGAAGAAGUGGGUUAACAAAAUGAAAACACAUAAGCAAACUCUAACUGGAUUUCAAAUCCUGAUUGCAGCUUGGUUGGUUAAUGACGAUCAAGGAAGUGCUGAGAUGGCCAAGGUUUGGUCAAUGUCAACUUAACCAGUUUGAAGAGUCUUUGCUCCUCUGGUAAACAGCUGUGCUGUUUUGUUCUGAAGUUCAAGUGGAAAGGAUUAAAGUUAGAUGUUAGGAGGAACUGUGCUCUGGGUCCCUUGGAAAGGAAUUCCCCAUUGGAGGCCCUCUCUGAUGUCUGCAUUGCUCCCACAGUUAUGGAAAGUAAUGGCCCCAGAGCUCCCCAUGCCUGUCUUCUGUGACUGAGUUCUGGACAUUUCAUGUGCGUCUUUUGGAUUCACUGUGCAUUUGCUUCACGUUGAGUAUUUGUACUCUAUUCCCCCAAGUGUUGGACAUGAAAUUAGCAUGAUGAAUGGGUCCCCAAAUGGGCCAGUAAUGACUACAUUAACUUAACCCUGAACCAAGACUCUCCUAUUCAGAACCAGGGUAACAGAACCGCAGUACAACGUUAGCAGCAAUUCAAAAGGGCAUCGGAGACAACUAAUCAUUUCAUAAUGAGCGAGGGGAGAAGCAAUAAAAGCCGGGAGCCCAAGGACGGCAUGAUAAUUUUGCAGAGUCUCAGCUCUCAACCAGACUCACGUUCAUAAAAUAAACAAAUGUUUUUGGUAAUGGAAAGCUAAUGUAUACAUUAUUUAAGGAUAGUAUUAAAACCAGACUAGAUGGAUCAAGUAAUACAACAGUUACCUCAUUAAGCAUCCUUUCUUUGGGGAUGUGAAAAAGUUAUUCUUUUUUUUCUUCUUCUUUUUUCCUUUUGAAAUGGGGCUUUAUUAAUUAGAGAUGUAAUGGGAAAUCUUAUUUUUUUCCCCAGACUAGUGGCUGUUUUCUGUUUAUUUUUUAAUGGAGGACUAUGCUUUGCAGAUGUUCUCUUUGAAAUAAAAGCCUAUUCAUUGUCUCUCUUUUGCACUUUCUUUUAUCCUAGCUCAAAAGGGGCAGCUGUUAUGAAAGACACUGAGAACCCCGUUUGCUUGUCAUCAAGUAUUGCAGAUGAUUCUGUUGUGGAUGUAAAAUGCUCUUAUUGCCUGCUUUUUCUUGUAACCCUAUUGAGGGAUAGUUUUCAAAUUGUGACGUCUGAUUUUCUCUUGUUUAGAAGGUGAGUUAAAGACAGAAAGCAGGGAGAGAUGUUAAGCUAAACGUCUCCUAAGGAAGGAUGUUCAGUGAAAGACUGGGUGGUUUAGAAAUGGGUAGAAGUUAGGUUAUUCAUUCUUCUUUGGCCUGGAGGCUGACUGCUGUUUGGCUUUCUUUUAGAAUUAAAGCAAACAAAAAACGCACAACAGCAACAUUUGGAGGAAACUGACUGUUUAUUGGAGUGAGCAGGCAGAUACAGCCCUCCAAUGAAGGUGGGUGCUAGAAAGCAGCGAUGGGAAAUACGUAAGCCAGAAGGAAACCUAGAGCUUUGUGAGUCAGGUGUGGGCUCCAGAUGGAAUAAUGACAGCAUAGGGUCCUCUUCCUCCUUUCUUAAAGAAAAGGUAAAUUUUAAAAAUCAAAACUUGAAUUAGUAGCCAAAAUCAAUGAUUUCCAAUCCAAAUCAAAUUUAGAGUGCCUAUUAAGAAAUUCGAAAUUCUGGUCUUCAUUCCCAGAGGUAACCAUUUGAGUGAGGGGGGAUGUGGCUGCCUCGUGUACACGGGCCCACCAGGUCACUUUACUUGUCUGUGUUACCCACAAGAUGGCUGUUGGGGUUUGAGUUUGCAACUUUCAGAAUGAUAAUAAUAAUAAUUGCUAUUAUCUAUUAGAUGUCACUACGUGGCAGGCACUGUGCUGUACUGAGCAGCGUCUCCUAGAUUAUCAUUUUAAUCAUUAUAUCAGCCUUAUGAUGUGGCUGCUGAUAGUAUUCCCAUCUACAGAUGAGGAAAUUGAGGCAUAGAGAGGGUAAGAAAUCACCUGCAGUCACAGAGAAGACUUGGAAUUUCAACUCAGCCAGCGUGACUCAGGAGCCUGUGUGUCAAAUGCCAUGCAUGUGCCGCACAGAAAGAUGUAACAACUCCCAUUAGGUUUUCUUCAGAAGGACACUGCCAGAAAGUUGGUACUGUUGCCGGGCGUGGUGGCACAUGCCUGUAAUCCCAGCGCUUUGGGAGGCCUAGGUGGGAAGAUCGCUGGAGCCCAGGAGUUCAAGACCAGCCUGGGCAACAUAGUGGGACCUCGUCUUUACAAAAACAUAAAACAAUCAAUCAGCUGGGCAUGGUAGCAUGCCUGUAGUUCCAGCUACUUGGGAGGCUGAGGUGGGAGGAUCACUUGACCCUGGGAGGUUGAGGCUGCUGUGAGCCGUGAUCGCACCACUGCACUCCAGCCUGGGUGACCGAGCAAGAUCCUGUCUCCAAAAAAAAAAAAAAAAAAAAAAGGUUUGUACUGUUUGCCUGCUGCAAAGAUGGUACCACUGAGACCUAGCAGUGAGUGAACUGAAUUGCCCAAGAUCAAACCACCACAUAGAAUGUACAGAGUGACUUAUUGCCUGUAAAAAAAAGGUCGAGUGUGAAACUGACUGUGGACGUGGACAUCUAGGAAGCUGAAAGUCUGGCUCUGGUAGAAGUACCCUCACCCUGAUUCCCAUCCUCUGUGUGCACAGAGUGAAGCUGGGGUGACGGCCUCCACCUUCCAUCCAUAGUCUUGCAGCAGAGAGGUAGCACCUGACACGUAAUAUUUUGAUAAGUUGCUGAUUUGUAUUAAAAUAAUAAUUACAGCGAUAAUUACAAGCACGGAUUUCACUGAGACUCAGCUGCUGACGGUGAGAAAAAAUAAUUAAUUGCGUAUUCUCUGGAAAUCAAAUGGAAGCCAGACCUGGCCUUUUUCCUUUGUGAGAGUCCAGCGCAGGUUUUGCUGUAGGUUGAAGGCCAUGUAUUUUGCCAGAUGCUGUUUAUGUUAAUAGUAUUGAUGGUAGAUUUCCAUGCGAGGAGUCGCUGGUAAUUGGGUGAACAUCAUCUUUAUGCGCAGACGCCGCAGAAAAUAGCCUGGCCGGAUUCUGAUGGUAGCACCAUCCCUUAAACCAUGAAACAAACUCCACCCUGGAAGUAAACACAAUAAUAGAGGAAAACAAUUUAAAUCUACCUUUUAUUUAUUUAUUUAUUUAUUUAUUUAUUUAUUUAUUUAUUUAGAGAUGGAGUCUCACUGUUGCCUAGGCUGGUCUCGGACUUCUGACCUCAAGUGAUUCGCCCACCUAGGCCUCCCAGAGUGCUGGGAUUACAGGUGUGAGCUGCUGUGCCCAGCCAUUAUUAUUAAAUAUUCUUAAGUACUCUAGCAUUGGCAGGUACCUGGCCAUCAUGAAGAAGUCAUAACUAAUUUAAUUUGAUUGCUCUCGUUCUCUUUAUACUUCUGUUUUUGAAGCUGAUUGAAUUGUAAGCUACUUUAUUAUAAAAACUUGCUAAACUUCUCUUGAAGUAGAACAUGCAUGAGAAAGAAUGCAGAAAUCAUGAAUAAACAGCUCCAGAAAGGGAUCACGCCCAACUAACCAGCACCCGAAUUCAGAGCCCACCAGCCCCCGGGAUCCCGGCCACGUCCACUCUGACCCCAUGCCUGCAAGGAUAGGGUCUCUAUCGUGACUUCUAACCCCACCAGGUACUUUUGCCUCUUUUUAGAAAUGGAAUCAUACAGUCUGUACUCUUUUGUGCCUGGUUUGUUUUGGUUAACAUUGCGUCUGGGAGUUUUAUCUCUGUCCAGGGUUGGCGAACCCCAGCUUACAAGCCAAAUCUGGUCCUUUGCCUGUUUUCAUAUGGCCUGUGAGCUAAGGAUGGAUUUUAUGUUUUUAAAUAGUUGCGGGGGGGGGCGGGGGGGGGAGGAAAGAAUGAUAUUUUGUGACGCGUGAAAAUUAUAUGAAAUUCAAAUUUGUGUCCACAAAUUGACUGGGCAUGGUGGCUCAUGCCUGUAAUCCCAGCACUUUGUGGGGCCGAGGUGGGUGGGUCACUUGGGGCCAGAAGUUUGCUACCAGCCUGACCAACAUGGUUGAAACCCCAUCUCUACUAAAAGGUACAAAAAAAUAGCUGGGUGUGGUGGUUGAUGCCUGUAAUCCCAGCUACUCAGGUGGCUGAGGCAGGAGAAUCACUUGAACCCGGGAGGCAGAGAUUGCACUGAGCCAAGAUUGUGCCACUGUACUUCAGCCUGGAUGACAGAGUAACACUGUAUCUCAAAAAAAAAAAAAAAAUUGCGAUCAUAAAUAAAGCUUUAUUGGAACACAGCCAUGUCCAUUUCAUUUAUAUAUCAGCUAUGGCCGCUUUUGUGCUAUGACAGCACAAUUGAGUAGUUGCAACAAAGACUGUAUGGGCCCUAAGCCUAAAACAUUUACUAUCUGGCCUGUUACCAAAAAGUUUGCUAACCCUAUGUCUAUAUUGGUUCACAGAGUUGUAAUUGUUCAUUUGCAUUAUUUCAUUGUGGAAUAUACCACAAUUUACAUAUCCAUUCUGUUUAUGGGCAUUUGGGAAGUUCCCAGUUUGGGGCCAUUAUAAAUAGUGCUGCUGUGAACAUUCUUGGACAUCUCUUUCGGCAAACAUAUGCAAACAUUUCUGUUGAGUAUAUACCUAGGAGCGGAAUUAAUUUAACUACUUUUUUUUUACCAAUUGAUUUGACAAUUAUAUUUUAAUUUGGAAGUCUUACCUUUCAGAGUAGGAAGUAAAGCACAGUAAUACUUUCAAAUGCUGAAACUCUGUAACAAGGCUUAUUUUCAUAAUUAGUCUUGCAAAAUUCAGAGUCCGUAGAAACAGUUUCUUAAUUGUCCAUUGUUCUUCCAUUCUUAGUCCCUUCUAGGCUGUUGGGAACAAGCCCGAUGUCAACUGCUUUAGUUGCUUUUGGGAAUGGUGCCAUCAUUUAAUUUCUUAUACCAAAGCCAUAUUGUCCACAGCGCUCUUAUCUUUAUUCAGCAAAACAGGUUUGGCAGAAUUAGGUGUUUUUUUUCUAGAUGUCACUUUCUGCUUUGAUUGACUUCUGUUUAUCUCUGGCUUUCUGGUUUUCUUGCUGGGAAGCAGAUGAAUAUAGCCCUGUGUCCCCAAUAAGAUCUCUAGCCUGCAGUAGCGUGUGUCAUUUUACAUUGAAACUCUGUGCUGAAAUAUCCCUUUGGGGACUGCAUAUGCUGUACAUGGCCACAGCAUCGGAGCACGGAGACUUCCCCGGAGGUGCUGCCUCAGUGUGCGUUGUCAGCAUUGUUUAGAAAUGCAGGAUCCUGUGUCAGUUUCUGAAUGCCAGUCACUUCCCAUUUGCUGCUCCACUUUUUGGACACUAGCACUGACAGGGUUGGAAGAGUAAAAUUAGGAUACCCUAGGAUCCACCCAUCUUUCAGGUUUGCUUGGUGCUGGCUGAAAAAUGACUUAAUAUUCUUUCUGGGGCUUGUCAAAGAGUCCUGUCCGUUCUUCUCCUAAGCCAACCCACUUUACCAGGAGUAAAGCCCUAGCUGUUGUAGGAGCCUGUCUUCUGAUUCUGCCUGGUGCGAUGAACAAACUUAAGGAAUGGCACAAGAGAAGAAGGUCAGCUGCUGUUUUAGUAUUACUUUUGGAAUGAAAUUUGAAUUUAGUGCAGAAAGGAUUUGUGGACUUGAAACCCUUGGGCUCAGCUAAAAUCCUUUCUAUGUGACUCAGGAUCUGGAAGCCUCAGUUUUCGUCUUUAAAAUAGGGCUGCAAAGCUGCAAUGCUAUUGUGGUUAUGAUUCCAGAGUGGAAUUCCCAGAUGUGAGAAACUUAACCCUUAAAUUCUGGUAGUUUGCCUCCUUUCCCUUUAGCUUAAUAGGUUGUCUUUUUCUGUUGGAAUAUUUACUUUUGUUAAGGUAAGACUAGAAUUGUAAGUAUUCAUUGAAACUCUUUACAAAGGUGUGUGUGUGUAUGUGUGUGUGUGUGUAUUCUAGGGGAAGAACUUCUCUUUUUAAAGACUACUUUCUAGAUGUUCUAACGUGCUAAUUACAACUGAUAAUUAACUUGGUCUAAAAAGAAUCUUAAUAGAUUUCAAAAGUAGAAAACUUCCAGGCUUCCUUCAUAAAACAAUAAGAUAUAUUGAAAAUUAGCCUCUAAAAGACAAUCGCAUAGAAAUUUAAACAAUCGAAACUCUUCUAAGUAAUUCUUAGAUCAAUGAAUAGAUUAAAUUUGACAUUUCAGAUUAUAUAUUGAUUAGCGAAAAUGAAAAUACUUCAUAUCAAAACUUGAGAUAAGGUUAAAACUGUGCCCAGAGGAAAACUGGUAGUCUAUUUUAAAAGCACUUUAGGUUUUGACAUUAAAUAUGAAAGAGUAAAA